CAAUAGCGUAUAUUUAAGUUGUUGCAGUUAAAAAGCUCGUAGUUGGAUUUCGGGUAGGAUUUGCCGGUCCGUCUUUGAGAUGUGUACUGGUAAGUCCUAUCUUCUUGUCGGGGACCAGCUCCUGGGCUUCACUGUCCGGGACUAGGAGCUGACGAGGUUACUUUGAGUAAAUUAGAGUGUUCAAAGCAAGCCUACGCUCUGAAUACAUUAGCAUGGAAUAACACGAUAGGACUCUGGCUUAUCUUGUUGGUCUGUGAGACCAGAGUAAUGAUUAAGAGGGACAGUCGGGGGCAUUCGUAUUUCAUUGUCAGAGGUGAAAUUCUUGGAUUUAUGAAAGACGAACUUCUGCGAAAGCAUUUGCCAUGGAUGUUUUCAUUAA
rnacentral:rRNA from 1 species